rnacentral:lncRNA from 1 species
CUCGAAGUCCUACACUGAUCGAUCAUCCCAAAAAUACUAGCUCGUGCAAUGAUCCUAUAGAUGGCUGAUCUUGCUCUUUCUACGAAUCUCUUAGAUUCCUUUGAGAAUGUAGGAGGAACGAAGAGGAUCUGGUGAUGAAAGGAAAAAGGAGAAUUUUCUUUUCUCUUUUAUUUUCUUCACCCAAAAUCCUAGAACAGAUUUUAGAUCUCUCACCCA